UACGUAGGGUGCAAGCGUUAAUCGGAAUUACUGGGCGUAAAGCGUGCGCAGGCGGCUAUGCACGACAGAUGUGAAAUCCCCGGGCUUAACCUGGGAACUGCAUUUGUGACUGCAUGGCUAGAGUACGGCAGAGGGGGAUGGAAUUCCGCGUGUAGCAGUGAAAUGCGUAGAUAUGCGGAGGAACACCGAUGGCGAAGGCAAUCCCCUGGGCCUGUACUGACGCUCAUGCACGAAAGCGUGGGGAGCAAACAGG
rnacentral:rRNA from 1 species